AAGCCAGACUCCUACGGGAGGCAGCAGUGGGGAAUAUUGCACAAUGGGGGAAACCCUGAUGCAGCGACGCCGCGUGAGUGAAGAAGUAUUUCGGUAUGUAAAGCUCUAUCAGCAGGGAAGAUAAUGACGGUACCUGACUAAGAAGCCCCGGCUAACUACGUGCCAGCAGCCGCGGUAAUACGUAGGGGGCAAGCGUUAUCCGGAUUUACUGGGUGUAAAGGGUGCGCAGGUGGCAGGGCAAGUCAGAUGUGAAAGCCCGGGGCUCAACCCCGGUAUUGCAUUUGAAACUGUCCGGCUAGAGUGCAGGAGAGGUAAGCGGAAUUCCUAGUGUAGCGGUGAAAUGCGUAGAUAUUAGGAGGAACACCAGUGGCGAAGGCGGCUUACUGGACUGUAACUGACACUGAGGCACGAAAGCGUGGGGAGCAAACAGGAUUAGAUACCCCUGUA
rnacentral:rRNA from 1 species